UCUCCGUUGGUGAACCAGCGGAGGGAUCAUUACCGAGUUUACAACUCCCAAACCCAAUGUGAACCAUACCGAACUGUUGCCUCGGCGGGGUCACGCCCCGGGGGCGUGGCAGCCCCGGAACCAGGCGCCCGCCGGAGGGACCAACCAAACCCUUUCAGUAGUCCCCUCGCGGACGUUAUUGUUACAGCUCUGAGCAAAAAUUCAAAAUGAAUCAAAACUUUCAACAACGGAUCUCUUGGUUCUG
rnacentral:misc_RNA from 1 species